rnacentral:lncRNA from 1 species
CAAGGGCAUCCCUUCCCAAGAAAGGUGGCAAGGGGGUACGAGCGUUUAAGUCAGCAAUGCAGCACGUUGGGUGGUGAUGGAGGGUGCCUUUCUUGGUACACUCAUGGAUGCCCUUCCUUACCAUCUUUCCCUGGUCUGUAGACCCAUCUAUGCUAAUGACAAAUGACAGGGGAGAGCAAAUUGUGUGAGUUGAGCCCUACGGGUGCUUAUGGACAUCCAACUCCACUGGCUCUGGCUAUGUGAAAUGCUGCUGAAGGCUCUGACCUACUGUCCCUAUUGUCUCUCCUGCAGCAAUUUCAGUUCUCCAUCAUGGGUACCACAGCAGCAUGGAUGGCCUUGGAACAAGGGCACAGUGACGAGCCAAGGUCCCCUGGGUUCAAGUUUACUACCUAUGACCUGGUCCACCACCACAGUCAUCGCUUGAUCUAGCGGAGAGAACCAGCAGACACCCAAUGGUGAUGUCCACAGCAGGCUCUGACGUUCCUUCUGUCUCUCUUCUUGGCCCAUAAGAGGAGGCCCCAGAACCCCACCUGCGCAUGGAUGCCACCACUGGACCUGUCAGCGGAGAUGGCUUUGCUCCAGCAAGGUGAGAUGUGGUCACCUUCCCAGCAGAAAGAGGCACAGUCCCGCCGCGAAGACCCCGCGCCCGACCAGCUGCUUUUCCCGUUGCUCCUCUGAACACCAGAGACAAAGAAACAGGCUGGGAAGAGUCAAAGCCUUCGAUCUGGUAGCACGUGCCAUCUCUGCUAACCAGCAUCUCCCCUGGGGCUCUCACUGCUGCUGGGAAAGCCAAGGUUGUCCUGUGGUCCUGCGAACAGAGACGGGACGUUGUUGGUGCAGUGCUCUGUAUCAGAGCACAGACAGUCCAGACCCCCAGGAACGUAGCCAGGUUACUUCAUCUCCCUGCACUCCAGUUCCUCAGCUGCAGAAGAGGGAUUAUAACAGUGCCCACCCUCCCACACACCCGUGAGCACCCGUCUGUUGGUGGCCGAGGACGCGCAGGUAGAGUCACUGCAGUGGGGUGAUCACUGUGUGCCAUUACUGGCUGAUGCCAUGGCCAACCCCAGGUUCCGUGUCAAGACCUUGGACACAUUUUGGAUGCCUAAAGGUAGGUGCUUGGGGCCAUUUAGGUGCCCUGUAGGACCCCAGCUGGCCUCCAGCUGCUCUUCCAGCAGGCUCAUACAUCCUGUAGGUCCUCACAGCCCCAUGGUUUGCCCUGAGACCCCAGAGCAUCUCACAUAGCACCAGAUACCUCUGUUUAGGGCACUGAAUCCCACCCUUGCUUCCCUGGAGGGUGGGUUUCACCUGGUAGUAACCACUGCCCUUGAGUCUUGUUGGUGGCCACCUUCAGGCCAUGAGGCAUGGGCCGACAGGGGCCACCAUUCACGGCAUCAGAGCUGGGGUUGACUGUGUAGACUUUCCUGCACCUGAGAAGCUUGGGCCUGUUCCCAGCACCACUGCUCACGUCAGC